UACAGAGGGUGCAAGCGUUAAUCGGAUUUACUGGGCGUAAAGGGCGCGUAGGGGGUCAAGCAAGUAAGAUGUGAAAGCCCUGGGCUUAACCUGGGAAGUGCAUCUUAAACUGCUUAACUAGAGUAUGGUAGAGGGUAGUGGAAUUUCCGGUGUAGCGGUGAAAUGCGUAGAGAUCGGAAGGAACGCCAGUGGUGAAGACGACUACCUGGACCAAUACUGACACUGAUGCUCGAAAGCUAGGGGAGCAAACAGG
rnacentral:rRNA from 1 species